UCCUUGCACACCAGUGGACCUCCCGAGUCGCCCUGAAACGGGGAGAGGAGAGACAGGUCUGCAUCAGGGUAACCUCCCACGCCCUCGGUUCCCUUUAAACUGCACGUUCCGGAAGGAGGGAAGGGCCCGGAAGGCAGGAGCCGCUCGCUACAGUAAAAGCUUGUUUUCUUCUGCGACAUCCAACCCGGGUUGAGCCCAGCACCAGAGGGCCCCUGGGGUGGAGCCCUGAGGCCCCUUGGCCGGCCCCCUCCAGGUUUGGAAGCCUCGGGAGGCGGACCACACCCCACCUCCCCUGAUCUGCCCUCCGGCAGCCCAGCCGGCUCACCGCCCUCGCGCAGGGCACCCCAGCCCGUGAUCCAGCAGUGCAGGCCCGGCUCGAAGAAGUGGGAGCGCGCGGGCAGGCAGACGGGGUGCACGGCGGCCGAGCGCACCACCGGGUGGUCGAGCUGCAGCAGGGCCACGUCGUAGUCAUGGCUGUCCUCCUCGUGCUGGUCCUACCCCAGCCUACCUUCCUGGCACUGCUCUUCAUCACUCCCGUUGAGACAGUCAGGCUGCCUGUCACAGACCCUGGACAGUGAGAUGCACGUGCUGUCUUCUUGGCACUGAAACGUGGCUCUGCAAACUGCGUGGGGACACACAGAGGCAGAGACUACGUGACGUGUGAGACGGCAACUUGAUGGAAUGCAGAUGGAGAUGUGUAUAUCCAGUUCUGGUCUAUUAAUCCGAUUUAAAAGAAAGUCGCAAAAAGGUCAAAUGAUGAUAUUUUUCUCGCCAAAUGCUUUUGGCUUUGGGAAAUACAAUUAGUUUUUUUCUAAAAUAUGUUAUUUAUGUCAAAAUUGUAAUGGGUUUCUUUUAAAUGAAUUGAUAAAUGUUUCUAACUUUUCUUAGUUUUAGUGUCUAAUACUGUGAAUAGAGAUACUAUAACCUGCACAAAAGCCCUUUGGGGUGCUUAAUAAUUUUAAAGAGUGUAAAGAGGGCCCGAGGUGGAAAAUUUUGAGACGCCCUGCUCUCCACCAGGACUCCUCCAGCUUGGGGCGUGAGGGGGCAAGACGAGACGAGAUGCCACUAGGGGGCACCCACGAGCAGGCCUGGCCCGUCUUGGCCUUUUAAAAAACUGAGGAAAUGGAGUUUUGGCGGUCUGUCUGUCUUUUAAAGUGGACAAACAAAUGCUAUAAUGGAUUACUGUCCCCUGAGAGUUUCCCCGAGGAGUGGGCAGGGGAGCUAGGGGCGGGAAAUACUGGGCAGUGGGAAACGCGUCAAGUAUACCCCUGACCAUGUGGAAGAUUUGGGGACAUGGGGCGCUGUCCCCACACGGUCAUGGAGGGGUUGUGGAGAGACAGGGAAGGAACCAGAGCCAGGUCAGAGAGGAGUGGAACAUUUCAAUCUAGAAGAAUCUGAGGGCUGCGUGGUCACCCUGAGCUUUGGCCAGGGACUCUAAGGUACCAGUGAGGGCUGACAGGACAUUUUCUCUACUGGCGUCUGAGAGAACGAAGUCCAGAAUCAGCCCGUGGCUCAGCCUGGUACCCCAGGACCCCCACCCCCACCCCAGGCAGCAUGUGGUUCUCACCCUGGAGGCCCGGGGCAGGGGCUGGUGGCGGUAUUCCUGCGGCAAGGCUCUCCACAAGUGUUCAAGGGAGACGCUACAAUCUAGUGACUCAGGCUGAGUCACCUAACUUAAGGAUGGUCUGUUUGGUCUGUGCAGUGUUAAAAUAAUUUUUUUUUCAA